UAGUGAAUAACCAAAAUUAGUAACAAACAAAGUCGUAAAAUUUAUAAAAACAAAACAAAAUGACUAAAGAAAACAAAAUGACUAAAGAAAACAAAAUGAAUAAAGAAAAGAAAAAGAUUAAAGAAAAGAAAAAAAUUAAAAAAAACAAAAUAAUUGAUAAAAAUAAAAUAAAACGAAAAAAAAACGAAAUUUAUGGAAUAUGAUGAUGACGAAUCAAAAAGAAUCUUCUUAUAUGCAUAUGAACAGGAAUUAAAAAAUGAAACAAUAUGUUGGCGUAAAGCUGAAGAAUUAAAAAUAACAAAACAUAGCGCUAGUUCUAUGAGAGGACAUUACUUAAAUUCUAUAAAAAAUGAAACUUCUUUGUAUUUAGAAAUGUAUGCUGAAGAAGUAGCUAAAUUAUUUAUAAAAGUUAAAAACUGGACAAAAUUACAAAAAAGACAAACAAAAAAAUAUACUAAAUUAUCCAACUAGUGUUAUCAGACAAACAUCCAACAUAUCACUAGAUCGAAUAGCAAAAAAAAAAAAGUUGCCAUUUUAAUAAAUUUAAUUCAUUAGUAAUCAGUAAAGCAUUCUCUAUGCAAGCUAUUAAACAUAUAACAAAACAAAAAAACAAAACAGAUUAAAUUAGCUAACAAAAAAAGUAUAAUAACCGAGAAAGAUAAAGGAAAAAUUUUAAAAAAAGCAAAAACCAAAGUUGAAAUUGGAACCAAAAGUAGCGCCAAAAAUGAGGAAAAAAAAAAAAAAAAAAUAAAAAACAAAGAAAAAAAUAUAAAAAAAAAGAAGGAAAAGACAGCACCAAAAAAGAAAAAAAAGACAAUACCUCUAAAACAGACAAAGAGAAUAAAACCCCAGUAAAAAUAACCGAUGUAAAAAUUAAUAAAAAUGCCACGCAAGAGAAGAACAAAAAGAAGAAGAAAUCAAAACAAAUGUAAAUGGAAAUGGUAAAGAUAUGGAUACAGCUGUAACAGAUGCUACAUCUACUACAGCUACAACGACUGAUAUAAUAAGAGACAAUCGUAUAGACGAAUUUUUAAGAUUUGAUUCUCCUAUAAUUCGAUGUAGAAGUAGUAAUGAAUAUAUGUCGCCUAGAAAAAGGAAAUCAGAAAAUUUAUUGUAUAGUUAUAGAAGUAAAGACUUAGGUGAUAUUAUUAAAUCAUUUGAGUAUACACCAGAUUCUGGUGACGAAAAAGAAAAUGAAAAAAAAAAAGAAAAAGAGAAAAAAAAGAGGCGCAAUUAAGUCAUUGUUUGCAUAUUUUUAUCAAAAAAUAUUCAACUAAACGUUGAAUGUCACUCAUAAAUAUCUGUUUAUUUAUAUAAUCAUAUAUUCAUAUAAUCAUAAAUUCAUAUAUUCAUUUAUUCAUUCAUUCAUUCACUCACUUUUUUUUUUAUUCAUUCAUUUUUUUUUAUUUAUUCAUCUUUUUUUAUUCAUUUAUUUUUUUUUAUUUAUUAAUUUUUUUUAAUUGUGAAGGAAAACAAAAACAAAAAAAAAAAAAAAAAAUUAACAGUAGGAGAAACAGUAAAAUCGAUACAUGUAUAUAUAUAUAUAUAUGUUUAUAGUAAGCGAACUAAAAGGCGAAAAACGUAGCGCAAAUAGUUUUAUUCUUCUCUUUUACGUGUUACGCAAUAUCACGCUAUUUUUUUUUUUACUUUUUUUUUUUUUUUUACGUAUUAUAUCUUAUAUAUAUAUAUAUAUAUAUGUCGUUUUGCUCUUUUUAUUUUUUUUUAUUUUUUUUUUAAGCGAAAUAAUGCGACCAAGCGGUAGGCAUAAGUAACGAUUAAAAUAGACCCGAAAAAAAAAAUAAUAACUAAUAAUAUAUACAUACUUACAUACAAAAAAAAAAAUGAAUGUGUUAUGUCAAAAAACAAAAAGACAAAUAGGAGUAGUACCUUAAAGCAACAAGCAACUGUUUUAUACAACACUAGCUUUAAUUAUAUAUAUAUAUAUACAUAUAUGUAAGUGCAUUCUUUUUUGAAUUUUUAUAUUUUAAUCAUUUUUUUUUUUUUACUUAUGUGUUCUUAUCCUUUUUUUAUUUUUUUUUUUUUACACUAUUUUUUGAAUUAUAUUCUUUUUUUACAUUUCUUAGUGUCCUUUCCUUUCUUUUUGAGUGUCUUUUUCUACGUUUCUCAGUGUCUUUUUCUUCAUUCCUUUUUUUUUUUUUUUUUUUUUUCUUCGUUCGUACUUUUUAAAUCCACUAAAUCACAAAAUUUACAGUUUCCAAUUUUUAGCAAUUAAUAAAAUAUGUUGGCAUUGAUAUGUGUAUGUAUGU
rnacentral:lncRNA from 1 species